rnacentral:rRNA from 1 species
GACGAGGGGUCCUAGCGUUGUUCGGAAUCACUGGGCGUAAAGCGCACGUAGGCGGCUUUGUAAGUUAGAGGUGAAAGCCCGGGGCUCAACCCCGGAAUUGCCUUUAAGACUGCAUCGCUAGAAUUGUGGAGAGGUGAGUGGAAUUCCGAGUGUAGAGGUGAAAUUCGUAGAUAUUCGGAAGAACACCAGUGGCGAAGGCGACUCACUGGACACAUAUUGACGCUGAGGUGCGAAAGCGUGGGGAGCAAACAGG